AUUGGCGCUUGAGGCUACAAGUCCAAGUAUCUUCAGCUCAAGAAGAAGUUAGAAGAUGAGUUCCCCGGCCGCCUGGACAUCUCCACCGAGGGAACUCCCCAGGCCACCGGGUUCUUCGAAGUAACGGUAGCUGGAAAGUUGAUUCACUCUAAGAAGAAAGGCGAUGGCUAUGUGGACACAGAAAGCAAGUUUCUGAAGCUGGUGGCUGCCAUCAAAGCUGCCUUGGCUCAGGGCUAA